rnacentral:rRNA from 1 species
AUUGAACGCUGGCGGCAGGCCUAACACAUGCAAGUCGAGCGGAUGAAGGGAGCUUGCUCCUGGAUUCAGCGGCGGACGGGUGAGUAAUGCCUAGGAAUCUGCCUGGUAGUGGGGGAUAACGUCCGGAAACGGGCGCUAAUACCCCAUACGUCCUGAGGGAGAAAGUGGGGGAUCUUCGGACCUCCCGCUAUCAGCUUAGCCUAGGUCGGAUUAGCUAGUUUGUGGGGUAAAGGCCUGCCAAGGCGACGAUCCGUAACUGAUCUGAGAGGAUGAUCAGUCACACUGGAACUGAGACACGGUCCAGACUCCUACGGGAGGCAGCAGUGGGGAAUAUUGGACGAUGGGCGAAAGCCUGAUCCAGCCAUGCCGCGUGUGUGAAGAAGGUCUUCGGAUUGUAAAGCACUUUAAGUUGGGAGGAAGGGCAGUAAGUUAAUACCUUGCUGUUUUGACGUUACCAACAGAAUAAGCACCGGCUAACUUCGUG